UGCCAGCAGCCGCGGUAAUACGUAGGUGGCGAGCGUUAUCCGGAAUUACUGGGCGUAAAGCGCACGCAGGCGGCCAGUCAAGUCUGACGUGAAAGCUCCUGGCUUAACUGGGAGAGGUCGUUGGAAACUGAUUGGCUUGAGGCAAUGAGAGGGGUACGGAAUUCCAGGUGUAGUGGUGGAAUGCGUAGAUAUCUGGAGGAACAUCAGUGGCGAAAGCGGUACCCUGGCAUUGACCUGACGCUCAUGUGCGAAAGUGUGGGUAGCGAACAGGAUUAGAUA
rnacentral:rRNA from 1 species